GAAAACAUGGAAAACAUGGAAAUGCAGGCAACAGAAAGCCUAUUGGGUCAUUACGAAGUUGCCCGCUUUGGUGAUGUAAUCUGCUCGACAGCCACUUGGGGCCUGGGGAGCAGAUGAAAGCACCUCGAUAUUGAGGAGCAGAUGAAAACACCUCAAUAUUCAGUUUACUCCCGACGCAGCGAAGUGACGGUCGAUUCUAUAUUUGAAGGAGUUGAUGGUAUUCGCAUUUACUUCUUCUGAAGGAAGAUUCUUCCAGUGGCGGAUGACUCGGUGGAGGAGAAGGAGGAGCAGGAAGAGGAGGAGGAGGAACAAAGGAACACAGAGAGAACAAACAACAGCAGACCUGCUGGUCCUUACGAGGCUGUUUGUGAUAAGCUACAAUAACUAUCUAAUCAAAAGUGGAAGAUGAAGGACAGCAAAGGCGAAGACCGUGGUGAGCAAAUCAGGGAAGUAAAGUGACGGAACAGGCCGAGGCAGCAAAACUAUAAUAUAGUCGUCAAGUCAGUCAUUCGGGGCCUCGCCAUUCGCGCCAAUCCCGGGCAGAAUCUUGGCGGUUGUCUCCUUCCUUCGCCCUGUCAACUUCCUUCCAUUUUUCGUCACACCACUUUCCUUCCUUCCCUCGUUCCUUCCUUCCUUCCGUCCUUCCCUCGUUGUUGCUUUCCUUCCUUCCUUCCCUCGUUCCUUCCUUCGUCCUGUCAUCUUUCUCCUUCCUCCCUCCCUCCUGUCACCUUCCCCCCUUUAUUCCUCCCUUCCUCUGUCACCUUCCUUUGGCCUUCGUCCUGCCAUCCUUGAUCCAACAAAAACGGUCUCCGGCGCCUUCACUGUAUUUUCGAUUGAUUUGAAUUAAUCCCGUCUGGAAUUUUUAGAGGCUCAUCUUGCUAUCCACCCUCCUCGCCUCGCGGGGCUGGGGAGCGUCAGGGGGCCCAAGGCCUUCCUGGCGAGCGUCGCAGGGUUCAGGGCUCCGGCAGGGCGCCUCGGCUCCCUCGGAGCGUCCACGGAGGUGUCGGAGAUACCGAGGGUCCGGGGGUUGGGGGGGCGUGAAGUGGCAGCAAGACAUGAAGUUACUGACCUCUUAUUAGCCAGACGACGCGUUAAUGACACGUUCCAAUGGAAGGUUCGACGCAUGGGGAGGUACAAUUCCCCUAAGCAAGGCAAGUGUCAUGCCAACUACGAUAAAAAACGAAAAAUCCAAAAAAAAAUACAAAAACAAAAAAUCCAAAAAAAAUUGUCUUGUUUUGCUUUGUUUAAGGCGUCUUGUAUGUUGGUAUGGCGGGUCUUCUCUGGGGAGAAGGAGACUAACGCGUUCCAACAUACAAAACCAGGAAAAGACGACAUGGAAACACCGAGAGAAGGAAGAGACGGUAUUGAAAAGAGUUACACAGAAGAAGGUAUUGAAAAGAGUUACACAGAAGAAGGAAUUGAAAAGAGUUACACAGAAGAAGGAAUUGAAAAGAGUUACACAGAAGAAGGAAUAUGAAGAUAAAUAACACAAGAAGAAGAAAUGUGAAGUAACACCGGAAGGAAGAUGCAGAGAAGUAACACUAGAAAAAUGAAAAUGGAAAUGAAAAGAAUCAUCCACCUUUCGGCCCAAACCAACAUCACAAAAUUAUGGGCGAGUCUCUUCUGGGAGGAAAGCGGCUCGUUCAGACCCAGGAACACCAGAAAGGAUGAUAGAAACGUCAAGAAAAGGAAAACAGAAAAGUCAUCCACCUUUCGGCCCCUGGGGCCGCAGGGUGGGUGACGGGUGAGUCUCCUCUGGGGAGAAGGAGGCUAACCCACACAGUCAAGGUAGAGGAUAGAGAAAGGAAAUUAAAUCAUCGAGAAAAGAAAAUGAAAUUACAAUAUCAAGAAAGUAACUAAAAAGUCAUGCAGCUUUCGGCCCCUGGGGCCGCAGGGCGGGUGACGGGUGAGUCUUCUGGGGAGGAGGAGGCUCAUCCACACCCAGCAACACCAACACAAAGAAAAGAAAAGAAAACAUCAAGAGAAAAGAAAAGAAAACAUCAAGAGAAAAGAAAAGAAAACAUCAAGAGAAAAGAAAAGAAAACAUCAAGAGAAAAGAAAAGAAAACAUCAAGAGAAAAGAAAA